UAUGCAACGUGAUGUUUACUAAAUUGAGAUGUUUAAGGGUGUUAGAUCUACGAGGAUUAGAAAUGAAGUAUGUGCCACCUUCAGUUGAGAAAUUGAAGCAUCUAAGGUAUCUUGAUCUUUCUGAGAAUCCAAGUAUCAAAACACUUCCUGAUUCAAUCACCAAACUACAAAACUUACAAAUUCUGAAACUGGUAGAGUGCAUGGCACUUGAACAAUUGCCAAAAGACAUGAGAAGGUUGGUCAAUCUCAGGUGUCUUGACCUCAGAUAUUGUUUUUGGUUGACUCAUAUGCCACGUGGGAUUGGACAAUUGAGUUCACUGGAGAGAUUAUCAAGAUUUGUGGUAGCCAAGGAUAAUACUGUGUGCAGUGGACUCGGUGAAUUACAAGGAUUGAACAACUUGAGAGGAGAGUUGAAGAUUGUGAAUUUGCGUUAUGUGAAAAAUGGUACAUCUGAAUUUAAGGCGGCCAAUUUGAAAGAGAAGCAACAUCUUCAGAUCCUGGAAUUAGUAUGGAAUGAAGACGGUGAUGAUAGUGAGGGUGCAAAUGACGUUGAGAAUGAUGAAAUGGGGUUGGAAGCGUUACGGCCCCACCAAAAUUUGAAAGAGCUAUCUUUGGAGUUCUACAGAGGAGUGAAGUUUCCCAGCUGGAUUUCUUCCCUCACAAAUUUGAUGUCCAUUUGUUUCUGCUCUUGCAAAAGCAUAAAGCGUUUCCCACCAUUUGAUCAGCUUCUUUCUCUUAAAUCUUUGUGCAUUUCUGGAUUAACUAAUCUAGAGUAUAUAGAUACUGAUGGAGGAUCUUCAUCAUUCUUUCCUUCCCUAACACAACUCUACCUCACAAACUGCCCUAAUCUGAAGGGAUGGUUGACAUGCAUGAGGAAUGAUGGAACGGCAGACCUCCUUAGAUUUCCUUGUCUUUCCUUUUUGUAUAUCCAUAAUUGCCCUAACCUGACUUCCAUGCCAUUAGUUCCGUCUUUAGAAAGGUUGCAUUUUCGUGGUAGCGGUGGGAACCCAUUGGAGCAUAUAAUAAAGAUGAUUAUUUCAGCAUCACAGUCCAGCUCCUUCUCCUUCUCAUCCUCUUCUUCUUCUUUCCCAAUCUCUCAAUUUAAAUAUCUAAGCAUUUAUGAAGUUGAAGAUUUAGAAUUUCUGCCAGAGUUGCUGUUUAACCUCGCUUCUCUCCAAAGUCUGACUAUUCAGAAUUGCCAAAAAAUAACAACUCUGUCACGUGAUGAGAAUGACAAAGGAAUGCAAUGGCAGGGCCUUCAAAACCUCCGUUCUCUAUAUCUUUGGUUUAAUCGAAACUUGGUGUCUCUCCCAAAGGGACUUCAGUAUGCUACCACUCUGCAUCGUCUCGAUAUCGGUGUUUGUCCUAAUUUGAUGUCUUUACCAGAGUGGAUGGACAACCUUACUGAAUUACAAUUUUUGUGGAUAAGGGGUUGUCCCCAACUAUCAGCAAAAUGUGAAAAGAAUGUUGGGGAGGAUUGGCCUAAGGUUGCUCACAUCCCAAAUAUUUCUAUCAAUGGCAAAGUAAUUCAACGGAGUCUUUGAUUAGAAAAAUCCUUUGCACUUUCCCUGGGUAGAUGUGGCAACCCAAUAACAUCUUGCAAUACACUGUUCUCUGACCUAAAGGAAUCAUUGUCUGGCCUUCUUUAAAUCGGGACAGAGGGACAACUAAUUCUCUUUAUCCCAUUCACUUGUAAGUUAAUCAACUGCCUAGCUUCUCUAAUCGUCAUUGUUCCCUUUCUAGCGUUUUGUUUUGAACGAGUGUACUUUUCUUGAUAUUUCUUACACUUGAACAAACUAAACGUUAAAAAGAUUACAGAAUUAACAUCAUUUGUUAAUGUCUCAGAAAAAAAAUGAGAAUCUGGAGUUUCUCUUGGAAGAUGUGAAGCAUUUAGCAAACAAUUUCUCCAAAAUUGGAAGAUGCAAGCUAAUGCAAGUAACUACUUGUCCAGUGAUAAUGAACAGAGUCCCCUGCUCUCUUCUUUAUUCUUGUGUUUCACUUCUGUGGAGAAACUUCAACUUGCAGUCAGUCUUCUACAACUUAUUGUUUUCAUUAACUCAAGAGGAAUUGCAUACAAAGCCAGCAUCAGUUCUGGCUCUUCAAUUUUUUGUUUUUGUGACUUGUUACUUAGCAGGUAGCUCAUGUUUGUUACUUGUGUGGUUGGAAUCUCUCUAUUUCUUGUUUAUUUGUUCCUAAGGUUUCUUCCUACAAAUUAGCCGGAGUUUAUGACCUUCCGUAGUAUGCUAUUUCAUGAAAAAGUUACACGGAAAAUUAUACUUUUAUAGCAUGUGACUUAUUUAUCCUUAGACAUUACAAUGGUAUCAAUUUCUCAUACACUUCUCAACUUUUCAACAGGUUGUUUGGGUUGGGUUUCAAAAAGAUGCAAGGAGAAAAAACAGGAUUGGCAGACAAUUCUAACUCGAUGCUCAUGUCCCCAUGCUUGUGUAUGGUUUCAGAAGUAUCAACAAACCAGUGUUGUAUGGAUUUGCCCUUUUUCUAGUCUGAUAAAUAUCACACUUCGAUAUAAUAAUACAUAUGACUCUGGAUUGCGAUGGAUGCUGACACUUGAAGACCAUGUAAUUCUUCAGACCAUUCUGGUAUUGCUAGAAUUAUCCAACAAGUUGAAUGUUUAUAUGAGAUAUUGUUAUUGUUUAUCUAUUUUUUCGUUUUCCUUUCUAACAUGUUGGUCUUUUGCAAUUGGAGUGUUCUUGUAGGAGAUGUAAGAGAGGAAGUGUGAAAUAAAUAUUUCCCAUUGGUUUCUUCAAACUUCAGAUAAUUAAAAUGAAUGAUUCUCCUCUCCUAUUUCAAGAUGGAGAGAACAGUUGAGGAUUGGCCUUUAUUGUCUCAGAAACACUAAUUUUGGUACUUUCAUCUCCUAUGAAUGUCCAUUUACAAACAAAAAUGGUGCAUUUAUUCAAGUACUAAUUGGUAGCAUGGAAGAGAGGAAAAACAUUAAUGCCAACUGCCAAGGGUUUCGACAAACAAGUGCUUUUCCUUAGUUCCCUAUUUUCUUUCUGCUUAUGAUAAGAAAAUUCUGCUUUUCUUUAAUUAUCUCCUCCUUUCUGUUUUGACAAGAAAAUUUUGUUUGGUAGGUUGGUUGGGGUGAAUACUUCCUUCUUUUUGAGAAAUUUUCAAGUCUAGUGAAACUCGCACUUUUAUAUGUACCAUAUUGCCCAUUGAACGCAAGUGUAAUGUGUGGAUAAGAACCCUUGAACAGCUUUUUAUUCAACCCAAGCAGGUAAUACUUCCUCACUUCUUCUUUUAUUCACUUUCCUAUGAACAGGAAGAUUUACAAACUGCACUAAGAAAUUUCAUCUUAAACAAGGUUUGGCAUCAGGAUAAUGCUUCAAAGGUUGUAAUUUGAACCUUAAAUCCGAUUCUUCAAUUGUGUGAUAUCACAGUGGAUGAUGAUGACGAUGCUUCAGAAUUGACAUUCACUCCAGUGGUUCUGUCCUGUUUCAAAGAGCCAGAGAAGAGUGAUUGAGGAUGGCCUCUUUGUCUUAUGGGUUCAAUAUUGCUGGUUGAAGAGGUGUGGCAUUACACGAAGCUCAUUCUUUAUCCAAGGUGAGAGUUUAUGAAGUCAGAAAUUUUAAUGAAGUCCUGUCACGAAAGAUACAUUCCUAUAUAGAUCUAGUGGCUUUCUCUGUGAGUUUGAUCAAGGCUCCAGUCAGGGUUCUUCACAAAGUAUUCUGAAAUCUCCAAUGACUAAUGUACUCUUAAAAACAAUUUACCCUUUUGGAUCUAGAGUGGUUCAUGGAGGGACAUGAGAAUAGAAAACAAUGCAAAAUGAUGCCUGCAAAUUUGUCAAAUGCAUGCCUAACUCUUCCAUGUAAAUAUUAGUAAAAUGUUUGGGUCAAGCUUGAUACGAGAAAUAGAACACUUCAAGCAAAGAAUAUGCAUAUAACUGAGGAGAUAGCUUGAAGUUCAACUGCAGACAAACAACAAUGGUUACGGUCACGAAUGAUAAGACUGCAAUCCUACUUGUAGAAAUGGUUUUCCCCCCAUAUUGCAAGUUCUCACCAGCAAAUGAUUGCCCUUUUUUAAUCAUUUCCUGUAUGUUCUGAUGAUCAAUUUCAUCUUUUCUACCCUCUUCUGGGGUUUACAUGGGUUAUGAAUUCUAUUAUGCUUUCUAAUUCACUUUUGGAAGAAACUCAAAAAGUCUGUAAUUAACUGCAUUUUGGAGGGAAGGCAGAAAUUAUAAAAGCAAUGACAGAGAUUUAUGCAAAUCAUUGUUUGUA